UACGUAGGGGGCUAGCGUUGUCCGGAUUUAUUGGGCGUAAAGAGCGUGUAGGCGGCCAGGUAGGUCUGCUGUGAAAACUCGAGGCUCAACCUCGAGACGUCGGCGGAAACCAUCUGGCUAGAGUCCGGAAGAGGAGAGUGGAAUUCCUGGUGUAGCGGUGAAAUGCGCAGAUAUCAGGAGGAACACCAAUGGCGAAGGCAGCUCGCUGGGACGUGACUGACGCUGAGACGCGAAAGCGUGGGGAGCAAACGGG
rnacentral:rRNA from 1 species